AAGUCAUAACAAGGUUUCCGUAGGUGAACCUGUGGAAGGAUCAUUAGCGAGAGCCUGCCGCAGACUCGUGCGAGUCUGUGCGCAAGCGCGCCAUCCUUGUGUUGUGUGUGAUGUGUUGUGUGCGCAAUGCCACUGUUGCCAAGGUGGCAGUGGCGUCUGCGCAUGCGCAUUUUUUUCACUCCAUUUCAUCGCAUUUAUUCUAAUUACUGCUGCUCGCAUGAGCACAAACAACCGAAAACUGCCAGCAAUGGAUCACUCGGUUCUU
rnacentral:misc_RNA from 1 species